rnacentral:rRNA from 1 species
UCCGGUGAUUAUAGCAAUGAGGUCCCACCUGUUCCCAUCUCGAACACAGAAGUUAAGCUCAUUUACGUCGAAAAUACUUAUGGCUUUGCCAUCGGGAAGAUAGAACGUUGCCGGAA